rnacentral:rRNA from 1 species
UACGGAGGGUGCAAACGUUGCUCGGAAUCAUUGGGCGUAAAGCGCACGUAGGCGGACUGUUAAGUCGGAUGUGAAAGCCCUCAGCUUAACUGAGGAAGUGCAUUCGAAACUGGCAGUCUUGAGUAUGGAAGAGGGUCGCGGAAUUCCCGGUGUAGAGGUGAAAUUCGUAGAUAUCGGGAGGAACACCAGUGGCGAAGGCGGCGACCUGGGCCAAUACUGACGCUGAGGUGCGAAAGCGUGGGGAGCAAACAGG